rfam:Oryza barthii chromosome 7, whole genome shotgun sequence.
AUCCCAUGAUGAGGACAGGUGGCCACGUACUCCUGCAGUCGUUCCCAUGCUUCAGGAAUGGACUCGCCCCUUGUUUGUUGGAAACUGGAAAUUCGUCCACGAAGGGC